rnacentral:misc_RNA from 1 species
AGCAGCCGCGGUAAUUCCAGCUCCAAUAGCGUAUAUUAAAGUUGUUGCAGUUAAAAAGCUCGUAGUUGAACUUCAGGCCUGUCCAGAUGGUCCGCCUUAAUUGGUGUGUACUGUCCUUGGGUGGGUCCUACCUUCUGGCGAAGCGGCAUGGCCUUAGUUGGUUGUGUUGGGGAACCAGGACUUUUACUGUGAAAAAAUUAGAGUGUUCAAAGCAGGCAUAAUAUGCUCGAAUACAUUAGCAUGGAAUAAUGGAAUAGGACGAUGGUUCUAUUUUGUUGGUUCUAGGACCGUUGUAAUGAUUAAUAGGGAUAGUUGGGGGCAUUAGUAUUCAAUUGUCAGAGGUGAAAUUCUUGGAUUUAUUGAAGACUAACUACUGCGAAAGCAUUUGCCAAGGAUGUUUUCAUUAAUCAAGAACGAAAGUUAGGGGAUCGAAGACGAUCAGAUACCGUCGUAGUCUUAACCAUAAACUAUGCCGACUAGGAAUCAGACGAUGUUAAUUUUUUAAUGACUCGUUUGGCAC